rnacentral:rRNA from 1 species
UACGUAGGGUGCAAGCGUUGUCCGGAAUUAUUGGGCGUAAAGAGCUCGUAGGCGGUCUGUCGCGUCUGCUGUGAAAACCUGGGGCUUAACCCCGGGCCUGCAGUGGGUACGGGCAGACUAGAGUGCGGUAGGGGAGACUGGAAUUCCUGGUGUAGCGGUGAAAUGCGCAGAUAUCAGGAGGAACACCGGUGGCGAAGGCGGGUCUCUGGGCAACAACUGACGCUGAGGAGCGAAGACGUGGGGAGCGAACAGG